UUGAGGGAGCGGCCCGCGGAGGCAGCGGCGCGUUUCCCACCAGGCCAGGGGGCGUGACGCCUCGCGCACCUUGAUGCCUACGUUUCGGCGCCCAGAAGCCGAACGGCGGCCUCGGUCCCUGAGGCGAGCGACGUUGCGGACCCCACAGGAUGAGCGGAUUCAGCUGCAGUUUUCCUGCUUCCUGGGGUAUGGGGAGGAGCAAGAAAAAAGGACGCACAUCCCAACUUUCAGGCUAGCCUGAAAAAUGAGUCUAUAAAUAAGCUCUUUGCACAGUGCUGCCAAGACUUGGUUGAAGCCAUUGAAGAUUUUCCUCCGCUUGCUCAAGAAGUUGACAAAUGCUGAAACAGGUGACCUAACAGGCCCCUAAGAAACUUCCUUGAGUCUUUUCUCCGAGAACUAACAAUUAUCCGUUGCAGGCUAUUUGACCAAGAACCAGGAUGGAGGUUGGGGGUCAAGCGGGGCACACACACCCUGGUCAGAGUCUGCAGGGCAGACCCUGCUAGGCCAGAGCGGAGAAGAGCCCUAUCUGGGGCAGGCCUAAUGGGGAGGAACUGUGACCCAGUGGGCGAGCCUGUUCCCAGGCACAUUUGGUCCCCUGUGUGGUCAUCUCUGCUCAGCAUGCAAACAGCCCACUGCACCAUAGCCAGCUCUCCCCCAGGGAUGACGGUGGGAGGCUGGUAGUCGAUGCCCACCUGCCAGAGAAGGGGGAAGAGAGCACUCUGUGAAGCUUCUGUGAAUCCCAGAAAUGGUGACUGAAUCAUGGAAACAGACGAUGCACAGGUCCCCUCUGGUGACCCAGGAGAAGACUCGGUUCACCCUGCAGUCUGAGCCCUUCUUGGUGCCAGGCAAGGUGCCAGGAGAGCAGGGUUUUGGUUUCCAGACAAGGAAAACAGGGAAAGAGGAGCCUGAGUCAGCUGCCCUGGCUGGGUCCUAAGCUGCCUGAAGGGCUGUCUCCCAGCAACUGUAAGGUGUGAUCACUGCGCAGGUGACAGCACCGUCUUCCUUCCAAAAGGGACACUGCCCUAGAUUCUUCAUAUGUUAUUUUCUCCACAGGCUUCAACAAUAUGGGGAUUAAUUUCUGGCUGAAGGGUCUUCCACCCCAACAGCUGCAGAGUACACAGCUGUGGUUGUAUCACGAGGGAAGAUCGUACCCCUGCUUUCCCUCCUAACGAGCCAGCCUGUGCAGAGUAGGUGACAAAUACAUUGUCACAGGUCCUAGGACUGCUGCUCCCACUGUACCAGGAGGUGGUCUAUGUGUGUACUGAGUAGGAGGAAGUAGGUGAUGUUCUAGGGCUGGGACCAAAGGGGAGGCAUUCCAAGUUUCAGAUCCAAGGGACAAUGUGACCAGAGGUUUUGGCAGCAGCACACAGGGUCAACUGGAGCCAGGGUCAGCAAACGUUGUCUGUAAGGGCAAGACACUACAUAGUCUAGGCUGGGUGGGUCUGAGCUGGCAGAGGAGGCAUGAAAAGGCUCAGGAAGCACAGUCC